GAAAUGCAAGCUAAAAUUUGGGUACGAGUUGCUAGUUAACAGCAGGCAUAUCUUAGGACACCUAUGUUGGGUCUUCUGUCAUUUCAGCACAAGCAAGCGCUCAAUGGCAGCGCUAGCAUUAGCUAGAAUUAGCAUUGCACUUGCUAGUCAUCGACACAUAAACGCGGACCACAGGAAUGCUGAACUGAAAAAAAGCCAACCACUCCGAGCGCUGCAGUUGGCGUCGCUGUUGACACAAGGGCCUGCAUGCUGCAUGCUCUUAGCUUUAAUGGCUUCCAGAUUGCACAUCACCGUGAUGAGGGACGGAGCAGGAAGUCUUUUUUCGACAGUUUGGAACUUGGACUGACUGACUGAUCUACUGUAGAGCAGAGCCUUUCAUUGGAAGACAAACGGCAUAUAAAAUGGAUGGAUGGUGCUGCAGUACUGCCUUUGUCCACCAGAGGGAACCAGAGGAACCCUGAGCCCAGAUCCCAGAGGGAGGCCGACGUCAUUGCAGUGCACCCAAUGAAUCGGUUGGUCAGAUGCAAUGCAUUAUGGGAACACUAUGAAAGAGUUAUUUUUUUUCCUCCCACUUUAAACUCAUAUUGGUACAUGUUUGAGUGUUUAGUUACUGUGUGAUGAAUGUAGUGGUC